ACGGCAGCCAUUAUUCUUUCAAAAGAAUUCAAAUUCUUUCAAACCUUUUUCUCUCUAUUUCUAACGGCAGAAGCUAAAGAAAAACCUAGGGUUAGGGUUUGUAUAAUUUUUCCUUCUCUUUUCUUUCUCUUCAACACAAAUGGCAGCUAGGGCUUUCUAGGGUUAGGGUUUAUUUCUCUUCUUCUUCUCUUUGCAGCCGCACUUAGGGUUAGGGUUCUUCAAUAUUAUAUUUUUCUUCAAGCUUCUUCUUUUCUCUACUAAUGGCAGCAACUAAAUGGUUCUAAGGUUGGGGUUCUCCAAAAUGUUUCUUUUCUUCUUUGCAGCCUCUACCCGAACCAAGAGGAACCCAAAAACCCCACAAAGUUUCUACCCGAAACUAUGCCUAGAAAACUCACUCACUCAAAACCGAACCCCAAAAAACCUCUCACCAUCUCUUUGGCCGAAACACAACAAACCCGAAAAUAGCAAGAACACUCAACAUACACACAAAUACAAAUACCAGAAAAGUAAUAAGAGUGAGAUGAGAGAAUGCAAACAGUGAUUAAGAAGAUGACACCAAAACUUUGAUCUCGGAGUUCGCCCAAAACAACCGGCUACUUCUCCGUCAAGCCCUCAGCUUGAUUCCACUAAUCAUCAAACAAAGGAGGAGCUCACAUGGAGAUGACAACUCACAGCCAAAAGGCUCUCUUUUUACUUUGUUGUUAUUUCUGAUGUUGUUCUCUGUUGUUGUAUCUCUCUGGCUGUGACUCUUUAUUUUGCUCUGUAUUUUAUUACUUGUUGUAUCUGAGAAAAGCACCUCCUUUUAUAUACUGUUCUGUGAUCUGAUCUAGGGCAGAGCCCUAGUGAUAUUUGUAACUGUUUUUAUAACUGCUUCAGUUGUAACUGUCUUUGUAACUGUCUUUAUGUUCUUUAGUCUUGAUAUUUGUUGUAUCUGAUGUAAGGGUAUAUUUGUCAAACCCUAUGAGUGGUGUUAUUCAACUUAAGGGUAAA